CAGGAAGUAGUUUAACGAGAAUAUUAAUUUUGGAGAUUAAUGAUGGGAUUGCAUCUCUUUUCUGA
rnacentral:tRNA from 2 species